rnacentral:misc_RNA from 1 species
GAUGAAGAACGUAGUGAAAUGCGAUAAGUAAUGUGAAUUGCAGAAUUCAGUGAAUCAUCGAAUCUUUGAACGCACAUUGCGCCCGCCAGUAUUCUGGCGGGCAUGCCUGUUCGAGCGUCAUUUCAACCCUCAGGCCCCCAGUGCCUGGUGUUGGGGAUCGGCCCAGCCUUCCUGUAAGGCCGCCGGCCCCGAAAUCUAGUGGCGGUCUCGCUGUAGUCCUCCUCUGCGUAGUAGCACAACCUCGCAGUUGGAACGCGGCGGUGGCCAUGCCGUUAAACACCCCACUUCUGAAAGUUGACCUCGGAUCAGGUAGGAAUACCCGCUGAACUUAAGCAUAUCAAUAAGCGGGGA